UUUAGGACCCGUUUGUUUGACCGGAUUAGGGGGGACUGGAUUGGACUAGAUUGUAGUCCCUUGUUUGUUCUGCACCAGGAUUAGGUUUAAUGGGAUUAAAUGGGACUCGCUCGGAUUAAGGGGUUCGCUAGGAGUUCUUAGCCGAGAACCCCAAAUUCGGCCGGACUCGCAAGACCUUCCGCGAGAGAAAACCUCGCUCAUCCUGCGAGAGAGAGAGUUGUCACCAUCGCUCCCUGCUUGCCUUGCUCCCUCAUCCUCGUCCUCUUCACCCUCAUCUCUGCGUCUUGCUUGCCUUCAUCUGCAUCUUGCUCGCCCUUAUCUGCUCUUCUUGCCUGAUCCUGCUCGCCCUGCUCCUCCACCUUCUUCUCAGGCGACCUCUCAGGAACACUCCAACCAAAUCGCCCCUCCUCCUCCCCUGUUCGAUCCCAGUCAAAAGAAGAGGAGCAUAAACAGAAGGCUAAGGCUAAGGCUACUGCAU